GAGUGGUGUUUGGUUUGUUACGGGUGGUUGGCUCUUUGCUUGCGCAACAACUUCCACCUGGCAUACCUCUUCAGUUUUGCGUCAAUGCUUGUAUUGCAUUGAAUCCAAAGUGGGUUUCCUGUGUUGCAUACCAAAUUGAUGGUAUCGUUUGAUGAAUUGAUGUCCCUUUUUCGUCUUGUGUCGCACAUGCGAUGUGAGAUGAACCUUGAAGCGCUCUUUGUGAUCCACUCUUUCGAUGCACGUGCGUUGAUGGUGUGGCUCAUUAAGUGUUGCUUGGUCUCAUGAAUAUAGAAGUUGUUGUGGGCAUGGGAUCUUAGUAUUCUUACUUGUUCCUUGUUUGCCUUGCUUUAGCUUCUCCAAUACGAUUUGACUAUCACGUAUGGCACGUCUCAGCGUGGUAGUCUAAUUCGAAGAUGAAUG
rnacentral:misc_RNA from 1 species